AUUUUCAUCAACUGCAAACUUGGAUGCUGGAUCUUCCUACUAGAGCUCACUGAUUGCCCAGGGUUGAGGUACAAGAAUUAUGAAGAUGGCAAAGUGGAUGCUAAGAACAAUUAGUGGAUGCUAAGAAAAUUAGUGAUUCAUCAAAGUCAAACCAACAGAACAUGACAGCAAAUGACAGGAUUGGAACUCAGUCCUGGAACUCGGGUUGAUUGAUUGCAGGAAAAGUGCUCUAAAUGAUGAGAACUUUUCUACUCCCGGCCUGAUAUAAUGCUAAGCAAUAAAAAGAAGCUAAUGUCUUAAUAAAGCCAAUAUAGUCAGGUGUAUUGCAAGUGUCAGAAAAAUUCUGAUACAAAGUAAGUGCUCAAUAAAUAUUUACUUAAUGAAAUAAUCAACUGGAGAUAAAGGCAGUGGAAGAAAAUCAGAAAUGGCUUAAUAUAUGAGGCAAUGCCUGGAAGAUAAAUAAGAAUUUUGACAAGAAGGGAUGAUCUUCCUAACUCAUCUAGCUCAUUUCAGAUGAUUACUUUU
ensembl:lncRNA novel transcript